AGGCCAUCCUGUUCCCUGAUGGAGUCCAAGCCGCCCCAGGCCCUGGCACUGAAAGAGGCCGUUUAUGUAACUAGCUGAGCUCCAGGCGCCUGCCCGCCGGCCUGGACCCUGCCGUGAAUGUGUGUGACUGCUGGUGUGUGAAUGUAUGAAUGUGUGUGAGGGAGAUCGCCUCCGGCUGCAACAUAUGUGAUUCUGUCCAGAGGCUCAGCCCCACGGCUAGAAGGGAGGGCCGGGGAACGCGAGAGAAGGGAAAGAAGCCUGAACCAAAGUGCGAGCACGUGGUCCAGGUGUCCCGACGUCGCACCAGCCUGGGGCAUGGAGGGGGCGCCUGGGAGCGCAGCAUUAUGAGACAGCUGGAAAGGCUGGAAGGAGCCUCUGCGAUCUUCUGCUUCAAGUGCCUCGUUUUACGCAGGAGGCAACUAAGGCCCCGAGAGAGAUGGAGAUUUGCUCCUGUUGGUAUCUAUGUAUGGGUGUGUGACAUGGAAGUUCCUAUUAGAAGGGGACUUGUAAAUGUGACACGUGUGUGUUGUGUGUGUAUGUGUAGGGGAGGGUGCUGUGUGUGUGCAUAGGAAGGAGUCUUAUGUCAGAUUCAGGGAGUAUGAGCAGAAGUUUAUGUGCCCUAUGCAAGGUUUGAAAUUUGAUUGGCCUUUAUUUUAGUUUCCCUCCCCAUCCCCAUCACUAAAGCAGAUGCAACCUGACAAAUAACUUUUCAUAGUGUUAUUUUAUAGAAUUAAAAAUGUGCUUUUAUUGGAAAAAUAUUAAAAAGUGAGACCCUUUUCCAUCUUUCUAUGUGUUGUGUCCUAGGUGUCUGCCUGUGUUGCCUAGUCCUGAGUGGAUACCAGUGAGAGAUUUUUUAAGAAGGUGCCCAUGUCUGUGUGUGUGUGUGUGUGUGUGUGUGUGAGAGAGAGAGAGAGAGAGAGAGAGAGAGAGAGAGAGAGAGAGAGAGAGACAGAGACAGAGACAGAGACAGAGACAGAGACAGAGACAGAGACAGAGAAAGAGAGAGAUAUAAGUGUGUACGAGGUACGAGACAGCAAUGGAAGUCUAAGAAGGAUGAGGAAUAGAGAGGAGAAUAUGUUGUGAGAGUAAGCCAGGAAGCCGGUGCUUGCACAUAGUAGGUGCUUAAUACAAGUAUUGAGUGUGUACUAGAGACAGGGAACACGAGUGCUGACAGUGAGAGAGAACAGAAGAGAGAAAGCCAGAGAGAGUGUGUGUGCGAGAGCCAGGGAGCCUGUAUGAGUGUAUGAGAGAGCGCGCCAGGGAGAGCAUGUGUGAGUGUGUGUCGGAGAGAGCCAGGGAGCGUGUGUGAGAGUGUGUGUGUAUGUGUGUGUAUGAGAGAGACAGCGCGAGAGCACUACAAGGGGCCAGGGAGUGUAUGUGUGCGUGUGUGUGUGUUAGAGAGAGCAAGGAAACGGGACAGAGAAAUCACGAGCCAGUCUGGGAGUGCGCGGUUGUGCGUGACCGUGGGUGCCCGCGCGUGGGUGCGCGGGUGCUCGGGGCCUGAGCCCCAGCAGCCACGGCUGCGGCGGCGGCGACGGCGGUCCCGGAGCCGCAUUUCUGGAAACACUU
ensembl:lncRNA